GGGGCGUUGGCCCGGGCGGUCGCGGGGGAUCCGUUUCCGGCGCGGGUCGAACACGGGGCGGCUCUGCGUCGCUUCGUGGGCGACGCGGCUUC
rnacentral:tRNA from 1 species